UGGGGAAUAUUGCACAAUGGGCGAAAGCCUGAUGCAGCAAUGCCGCGUGUGUGAAGAAGGCCUGCGGGUUGUAAAGCACUUUUAUUGGGAAAGAAAAACACGGAGUUAAUACCUCCGGACUUGACGGUACCCAAAGAAUAAGCACCGGCUAACUCAGUGCCAGCAGCCGCGGUAAUACUGAGGGUGCGAGCGUUAAUCGGAAUUACUGGGCGUAAAGCGAGUGUAGGCGGCUACUUAAGUCGGAUGUGAAAGCCCUGGGCUCAACCUGGGAAUUGCAUUCGAUACUGGGUAGCUAGAAUUUGGUAGAGGUAAGUGGAAUUCCGGGUGUAGCGGUGAAAUGCGUAGAUAUCCGGAGGAACAUCAGUGGCGAAGGCGGCUUACUGGACCAAAAUUGACGCUGAGGCUCGAAAGCGUGGGGAGCAAACA
rnacentral:rRNA from 1 species